UACGUAGGGUGCAAGCGUUAUCCGGAAUUAUUGGGCGUAAAGAGCUCGUAGGCGGCUUGUCGCGUCUGCUGUGAAAACUGGGGGCUCAACCCCCAGCCUGCAGUGGGUACGGGCAGACUAGAGUGCGGUAGGGGAGAUUGGAAUUCCUGGUGUGGCGGUGGAAUGCGCAGAUAUCAGGAGGAACACCGAUGGCGAAGGCAGAUCUCUGGGCAUUACCUGACGCUGAGGAGCGAAAGUGUGGGGGGCGAACAGG
rnacentral:rRNA from 1 species